UUAUGAUGCUAGGGGAGCUGCUUGCUGAGAGAACAGGUCUUUUCAUGUGACCUGUCAAACCCUCAACACCUGAUCCGGUCAAUGCCGGCGUAGGGAAGCAAUAUAUUUAUUUU
rfam:Firmicutes bacterium CAG:145 genomic scaffold, scf158